UACGAAGGGGGGCUAGCGUUGUUCGGAAUCAUUGGGCGUAAAGGGCGCGUAGGCGGCCGAUCAAGUCGGAGGUGAAAUCCCUCGGCUCAACUGAGGAAUUGCCUUCGAUACUGUUCGGCUUGAGUCCUGGAGAGGGUAGCGGAAUUCCCGGUGUAGCGGUGAAAUGCGUAGAGACCGGGAAGGAAACACCAGUGGCGAAGGCGGCUACCUGGACAGGUACUGACGCUGAAGCGCGAAAGCUAGGGGAGCAAACAGG
rnacentral:rRNA from 1 species